AUGGAGGUAACGCGAGGGGUUGGGGACCGAGGGACCACCUCCCCGUCUGCAUGGCCGCCCGUGACCGGCCGGCUUUCGUUGUGUUUUGCAGGAGCCUGUUCACGACGGGGUGGCCUCGCCGGCCGCUCCCGGGACCGGGAAGUCCAAGAGUUGGAGAAAGAAGUUGAAGAAUUGAGGUCAAAGCUGGUUGCUGGAGGAGCUGACAUCAUUAAGGCCUUGACAGAACGUCUGGAUGCUGUUCUUUUGGAAAAAGCAGAGACUGAGCAACACUGUGUUUCUCUGAAGAAGGAAAAUAUUAAAAUGAAGCAAGAGGUUGAGGAUUCUGUAACUAAGUUGGAAGAUGUGCAGAAAGAGUUGGAACAAUCACAAAGAAGCUAUGGAAAAGAAAUAGAAAAUUUGAGAAAUGAAUUAACAACAGUACAUUCCAAAUACAGUAAUGAUAAAGCUGAUUGGCAAAAGGAAGUGGAAGAAGCAGCAAAAAAACAAUUAGAGCUUUCAGAACAGCUCAGAUUUCAGAGUGAUUCUGAAGAUAAUGUUAAAAAGCUGCAAGAAGAGAUUCAGAAAAUUAAGCUAGUCUCUGAGGAUCAAAUUUUAUGUCUGCAAAAGCAGUUAGAAAUUGCCACAAAUAAAAAGGAUCAAGAAAUUACUCACCUCCAAGGAGUGAUUGAGGCUAAUUGUCAGCAGUACCAAAAAGAUAUUAAUAGUUUGCAGGAAGAACUUGUACAGUUGAAAUCUACACACCAAGAAGAGGUGAAAGAAUUGAUGUGCCAAAUUGAAACAUCUGCCAAAGAACACGAAGCAGAAGUAAAUUAUUUGAUCCAGCUAAAGGAUAACUUAGUCAGAAAGUGUGAGGCAGGUGAGAUGAACAUUCAGGAGAAGUAUAAAUGUGAAUUAGAAAAUGAAGGGAAAGCCUCAGGUGCAGACCAAGAAAAUCAGGUGUGCUCUUUGCUCUUACAGGAAGAUUCUCUUGUAGAACAAGCAGUGAAUGAAAAAGUUAGACACUUAGAAGAUGCCCUAAAAGAACUGGAGUCUCAACAUAGCAUCUUAAAAGACGAGUUAACUUACAUGAAUAAUCUAAAAUUAAAACUUGAAAUUGACGCCCAACAUAUAAAGGAUGAGUUUUUUCAUGAACGGGAAGAUUUAGAGUUUAAAAUUAAUGAAUUAUUACUAGCUAAAGAAGAACAGGGGUAUAUAAUCGAGAAAUUAAAAUCUGAGCUAGAAGAUGCAAAUAAACAGUUUUGCUGCACCAUCGAACAACAUAACAAGGAAGUACAGAGUCUGAAGAAACAGCAUCAAAAAGAAACAGAACUAAAUGAGACAUUUUUGUCAGAUUCAGAAAAAGAAAAGUUAACAUUAAUGUUUGAAAUACAGGGUCUUAAGGAACAGUGUGAAAAACUACAACAAGAAAAGCAAGAAGCAAUGUUAAACUACGAGGGUUUACGAGAGAUUAUGGAAAUUUUACAGACAGAGCUGGGGGAAUCUGCUGAAAAAAUAAGUCAAGAGUUUGAAUCAAUGAAGCAACAACAAGCAUUUAAUAUUAAUGAACUUCAGCAGAAGCUCCAAACUGCAUUUAAUGAAAAAGAUGCUCUCCUUGAAACUGUGAAUUGUCUCCAGAGAGAAAAUGAUAACUUACUGUCACAGCGGGAAUGUGUACCAGAACUUGAAAAUACCAUAAAGAAUCUUCAAGAGAAGAAUGAACUGUAUCUAGUUAGUCUCAGUCAGAGAGAUACCAUGUUACAAGAAUUUGAAGCAAAGAUAAGUUCUCUUACUGAAGAAAAAUAUGAUUUCAUAAGUAAGAUGAAAAGUUCUCAUGAAGAGAUGGAUAAUCUUCACAAAAAAUGUGAAAGGGAAGAAAGGUUGACUGUAGAACUUAGGGAAAAAGUGGAUCAGACUGCCCAGUACAACAGUGAACUAGAACAGAAGGUGAAUGAAUUAACAGCAGGACUGGAAGAAACUUUAAAAGAAAAGGAUGAAAAGAACCAAAAACUGGAAAAACUUACAGCUCAGUUGAAAACUCUCUCCGAAGACCAGGAAGCCAUGUCAUUGGAAGUGAGGUCUCUUCGUGAAGAAAAUAGCAGACUGAGUUUGGAGAAGAACCUGCUGAGCAGGGAUCUGGAAGCCCUCCUGUCUCAAAAAGAAGGAGAUGUUGCACUUCAGAAGCAGAUCUCUGAAGUAGAAGAGGAACUUCGGUUAGCUGUCAGAGAAAGGGAUGAUUUGAAUAAACUUUUGGAAAACCAGCAAGUUCAGAAGUUGUUUGUCAAAGCUCAGUUGUGUGGUUUUCUUGAACAGAUGGAGUCAAAGGUUUCACAAGAAAGGGAAGAACAGGAUGUUGUAAAUAUCCUACAAGCCAUGGGUGAAUCCUUAGAUAAAAUAAAUGAAGAAAAAUACAACUUGGCUUUUCAGUAUGAUGAAAGAAAAGUAGAGUUAGAAAAAAAGAUUAAGCUCCUUCAAGAAGAGCAUAUGGUUCAGUGUGAGGAACUUAGGUCUCUACUAACAGAUUAUGAGCAAGAGAAAGUUGUCCUAAGGAAAGAGUUAGAAGAAGCCCUCUUGGAAAAGGAGGCCCUGCAGUCUGACCUUCUGGAGAUGAAGAAUGCCGGUGAACAAACAAGGUUUGAAAAUCAGAAUCUCCUAAUUCAGGUUGAAGAAAUGUCUCAAAAAUUGUGUAGAGAAAAUGAAAACCAUCACGAAAAAGAAAAAGAUUUUAUAAAAGAACUUGAAAACCUAAGGUCAUUAUUGGAACAGAAAGAAUCUGAAUUGCAAAAUGUGAAAGCAGAGUUAAUAUCAUUAAAGGAUUCCUUUAAGAAAUCACCUUCUGUAGAAAGUGAUCAACCUUCAGUAAAAGAGUUUGAAGAAAAAAUAGGAUACUUGGAAAAAGAAGCCAAAGAGAAAGAGGAGAAAAUAAGUAAGUUAAAACUAGUUGCUGUGAAAGCAAAGAAAGAACUAGAUUCUAGCAGGAAAGAAGCCCAGACGCUCCAGGAAGAACUUGAAUUUGUUCGCUCAGAAAGGGAUCAGUUGUCUACUUCCAUGAGAGAUCUCAUUCAAGGAGCUGAAAACUAUAAGAAUCUUUUAUCAGAAUAUGAUAAGCAGUCAGAGCAGUUGGAUGCAGAGAAAGAACGUGCCAGUAACUUUGAGCAUCAAGUAGAAGACCUUACAAGACAAUUAAGGAGUUUGACUUUUCAGUGUGAAAAAUUAACCUCAGAUAAUGAAGAUUUCCUGGCCCGUAUCGAGACACUGCAGUCUAACGCCUGCUUAUUGGAAGUGCAGAUUUUAGAAGUCCAGAAAGCCAAGGCUAUGGCAGACAAAGAGCUGGAAGCUGAAAAACUUCAGAAAGAACAGAAAAUAAAGGAGUAUGCCAGUUCCGUAAAUGAACUAGAAGAACUUCAGUUACAGCUUCAAAAGGAAAAGAAACAGCUUCAGAAAACCAUGCAAGAAUUAGAGCUGGUUAGAAAGGAUGCCCAGCAGACCACGCUAAUGAACAUGGAAAUUGCUGAUUAUGAGCGCUUGAUGAGAGAGCUGAAUCAGAAGUUAGCUAAUAAAAACAGCAAGAUAGAAGAUUUGGAACAGGAAAUAAAAAUCCAAAAACAGAAACAAGAGACCCUGCAAGAAGAAAUGACUUCGCUGCAGGCUGUGGUACAGCAGUAUGAGGAAAAGAAUACCAAGAUCAAACAGCUACUUGUGAAAACCAAGAAAGAACUGGCAGAUGUGAGGCAAGCGGAGACUGAUCACUUAAAGCUUCAGGCAUCUUUAAAGGGUGAACUGGAGACCAGCCAGCAGCAAGUAGAAGUCUAUAAAAUUCAGCUGGCGGAAGUGACGGCAGAGAAGCACAAAGCCCAUGAGCACCUGAAGGCAUCGGCGGACCAGCACCAGCGCACACUGGGUGCCUACCAGCAGCGGGUAUCAGCCCUGCAGGAGGAAUGCCGCGAGGCCAGGGCAGAACAAGCUGCAGUCGCCUCUGAAUUUGAGAGCUACAAGGUCCGGGUCCACAACGUUUUAAAACAGCAGAAAAAUAAGUCUGUGUCUCAGACUGAGGCUGAGGGGGCCAAACAAGAAAGAGAACAUCUAGAAAUGCUGAUUGACCAACUGAAGCUAAAGUUACAAGACACCCAGAACAGCUUACAGAUCAGCGCCUCGGAGCUGCAGGCCCUGCAGUGUGAACACUGCGCCCUGCUGGAGAGGCACAACAGGGUGCUGCAGGAGGCCGUGGGCAAGGAGGCUGAGCUCCGCGAGAAGCUGUGCUCUGUGCAGUCGGAGAACUCCGCCUUGAUGGCUGAGCACACGCAGACUGUCGAUCAGCUCACGGCCCAGCACGAGGCCCUACGCGGCGGCUUCCGGGAGCAAGUGCGGCAGCUGCAAGAGGAGCACCGGAGGACGGUGGAGACGCUGCAGCAGCAGCUGUGCCGGCUAGAGGCCCAGCUUCUGGAGCCCCGCAGCGAGCCGGCCACGCGGAGCCCAGCUUCUUCCCAGCAACCUUUGAGGAGCCUUCGAGAGAGGAGAAGUGCAGACCUCCCGUUCCUGGAUGUGCAGGUCACGGCCCGGGAGGAGGGGGAGGGGAUGGAGACCACGGACCUGGAGCGCGGCUCUCCCACCAGCACCGCUGCACAGUCCCUGGAGCAGCUGCUCAGUUCUCCUGAAGCCAGGCUCGAGCCGCCUGCGUGGCACAACGAAUUCACCAAAGAAGAGUUGGUUCAGAAGCUCAAUUCCACCACCAAGAGUGCCGACCACUUAAAUGGCCUGCUUCGGGAAACGGAAGCCACCAAUGCCAUCCUCAUGGAGCAGAUUAAGCUUCUGAAGAGUGAAGUCAGGCGGCUGGAGCGGAACCAGGAGCGGGAGAAGUCAGCAGCCAACCUGGAGUACCUGAAGAAUGUGCUGCUGCAGUUCAUCUUGCUGAAGCCGGGCAGCGAGCGGGCGCGGCUGUUGCCUGUGGUGGACACCAUGCUGCAGCUCAGCCCUGAGGAGAAGACCCGGCUGGCGGCCGCCGCCCAAGGUGAGCAGGGCGCCAGACGGGGUUGUGCUGUGGACCAGUAUGUCCCGUGCUUGGUAGGAAACGCUGGCUCUGCUUCCUGGGGACGGCAGCAUGUGUGCAUCCCUUCCACGUAG
rnacentral:lncRNA from 1 species